GGUGAGCCGAGGGUAAAACCAACGUGUAAGGGUUUGAUUGUGAUCCCGAGAAAACAAUCGGGGAGGUUCUAGUCGGUGAGCCUGGAAAAACCGACCGAGUUCGUUGUGCGCUCGUAAAACAACAAGUUGGGUUGUGAGCUUGUAAAACAACCGGCUGUAAUCAGUAGGAUUAUAGUGAAAUUCCCAAGAGGUCUUGGGGAGUGGAUGUAGGUGCUGGGGUGCACCGAACCACUAUAUGUCCUUUGUGUUUGUAAUGCCUCUAGUUAUUGUCUAACUAACACACUUACUUACUUAGAUAAAUUGCUUGCUUAAUUCUUAUCCGCACUUCCCUUAGUUGCAAGCAUAUUUAAUCAAGUC
rnacentral:lncRNA from 1 species